AAUCGAAAGUGAAAACGGUGAAACCCGUGCAUGUUGAUUUUUUUAAAUUUCUUUCUCCGUCUAAACGUAUUUUUACUAUUUGGGCAUUUUAUGUGCAUAAUUUUGACAAACCAAAAUAGAUCUUAUUUCUGUGGAUGAGAAAUUUCCUACACAGAGGUAGCUUCGCUUUGCUUGUUUUUACUCCAUUGCUGGGCAAUAAUCCUACUAUCACUGAAACCAAGUUUUUGACUUAAGUUUAUCAGAAAAUUUUUUAGAAAAUAUUCGCUAAAGACACAAUUUCCAGUAUCGUUAUGUAAAUUUUCUGAUUAACUUUACUUUUUCUUGCAUAUUCAUUGACCUUUGCUCACUUCAAACGAAAUCCUAUCUUUAAGCGUAACGCAAGGUACUGAUAUCCUAAUGAUUACUUUUAAAGUACUAUUUGUUAUGGUACAAGAACUGAGUGAAGUGCAUUAAUUUUACGGGGACAGUUGGAAGACUAAAUUAAAUUGAGUGAACGCACAGUGUGGGGCUGAUUCGAAGCUCAGAGCACGAUUUUCCUUGAAUUGUUCGCCACGAAUUCUAUUACCAAUUCAUGGCUCAUUUACGAGUUACUCUCAAUGUUCUUAUCAAAACGAGGCUCGUUGCGAAACCAUUCUCUCAAAAGUGAGUCUAACCCUUCACUCCUCGUAGGUGCCCUGGAGUAAUUUCGUCAGACAUCAUCGACACAAUGUCAAGCAGACAUGCAGAAAUUGUUGACUCAGAGCACCACCCAGCUGUUUGCAGAAUGUCAUCAAGACUUACUGAGGCAUUGUUGGCGGCAGAUGUUCUGGCAGCCUGUGUGCUGUGGGAUUUAAAUCUGGAAGUGACUAUUCCAGAGUCAGUGACAACAGUCUUCACCCACUGGCUUAUAGUAUCUCAGCUAACUUUCCUGAAAAGUUUUUGAUAGCUAACAAACAAUUGGCGUUCUGAGCCUCUUAAGUUUUGUGUUCUUGUUAAGUACUAUUUUAACGUAGAUACAACACACAGCGUAAGUUUAACAAGUGGGUUGUUAACUCCUGGUCUGCUUUGCUUCAGGUGUCCCACAAGCUGGAAGGUGUAGCAAUUAUUUAAAAAAAAAACAUGCGGUCAAUAUUCAACAUAUGUACUGUCUUGACCUCUUUGGCCAGAAACUAAUAAAAUUAACACAACGAG